UGACGCAUGUUGUUUGAUAGCUCUCAACAAAGGCUUGUUUUUCUGUUUCUCCAAGAGUCGUCACCUUCUCAUGCUGGAGAGGCAUGUGAACACUUGCAAUCCUGAGAGCAAUGUCGUCUGGAGCUUAGCUCCUGAUGGGGCCAACCAUGGUGCAAUACAGUGACUUGAGUCAAGAAUGAUGUUCUCCUAAGGGGUUGUCUAUUGGUGGUUCCUCAGGAGGCUGUAGAGGCCAAUUGAAGACCCACAAAUUCUGGUGCAGUGUGGCAGAUGUUUCCAUUCCUGGGCAUUGGUGUUUCAGACCAGAUGGUGAUACAACCAAUUGCAAUACUCUCCAGCCAGAAGAAAUCAGUUGGGAGACACAAGACGAGAAACACUCUGCAGGCCAAGAUAGAGUGCACACGGAGAGGACAUUUCCAAUAGAGGGAGAGAAGAGGAUUGGAGGGCACAACCUCAGAAUACAAGGACAUCCCUUUAGAACAGAGGUGAAGAGGAAUUUUGUUCCCCAGAGGGUGGCAUGUAGGUAAAUGAGGAAGGCAGAUGGAAUUGGGCUCUGAGGAAAAUGCUUACAAAGGGCCUCGUCAUAGAGUCAUGGCCAUAGAGUACAGCACAGCAACAUGCACUUGGCUCAUCUAAUCCAUGCCAAAAACACUUAAACUGCCUACUCCCAUCGACCUGCGACUGGAUCAUUGCCCUCCAUAUCCCUAGAAUCCAUGUACAUCUUAUCAUCAGGCAGAUGACAUGAAGAUUGGUGGAGGGGCAAGCAUUGUUGAGGAAGCAGAUGCUGCCUGGCCUGCUUCAUUCCACCAGCAAUUUGUGUGUGUUGUUUGAAUUUCCAGCAUCUGCAGACUUCCUCAUGUUUGUAUCUACUAACCAGUAUCUCUUUGGACUGUGGGAAGAAACUGGAGCAGCUGGAGGGAAACCACAAGUACAUGGGAAGAACAUAGAAACUUUCUUACAGAGAAAGCUGGGGGAGGGGGGUGGUGUGUGUGUGUAUGUGUGUGUGUGUGUGUGUGUGUGUGUGUGAGAGAGAGAGAAAGAGAGAGUAGUGUGUGCGCACGCAUGCAUGGGAAAGACAAAUAUUACCUGCUGGGUCAAGAAGCACCUUAGAAAUUGUUCAAAUUUCAGGUUGACGUCCUACACCAGGACCCAAAAUCAAAUUUCAACCCAAAAUGCUGACAACCCCUUUCCCCACCCCCUCACCCUCUGAUGCCGAGCUCCUCCAGUUAGUUGCUUCAGAUUCCAGCAUCUACAGUCUCUUCUGUCUCCAGAGAGCUAAUUAGCUAAGCAUCUAUUAUAAUUGAUUACUUCUCUUCCAUGUGUUAAUGUUAUUAGUUAUUCUCUUAGGAAAUUUGAUCACCAUUCACAUCUCACUACAUAGUGGAUUAAAAACAUGACAAUAAUGUUGUCAUAAUAGCAAGUGUGGAUGAGAUAUUUAUCUGCUUGAGAUGAAUGUGCUUUUGAAAUAGAUUAAAACUUUAAAAAUGGUGUUAAUGAGGAUAUUCCAACAGGACUUCUUAUUUGCAUAUUUAUUGUUAAUAAGUACUUUACAGCCUCAUUCUUUGUAACAUAUAGCUUAUUGGUCCAAACCUUUACAAAUUGUAGUGAAAUAUUAUAAACUUAAAACUUUAUCUGUACUUAGCUCUCCACAUAUGCCGUUGGACCUGCUGAGCCUUACCAGCAUUGUGUGUUUUAUUCUCAAAUUCAGUUUGUGUAUUUCUGAACAUGAUAUACUGUAAGUUCAAAUAUAUUAUCAUUCAACCAUACACAUGUAUACUGUCAAAAAAAUGGAGGAUACCAGCCUCCAAAAUGCAGGGCCUACAGAGUAAGGAGCUGUCCAUAGCUGGAGACAGGCAUGUUCAAGUUUAUUGUUAUUCAACUAUAUACCAUCAAACAAAACAACAUUCCUCUGGAACAAAGUGCACAACACAGUACAUAUAACUCACACACAACACAUAAAGUAAUAUUAUUCACUAGUAAAUUAACAAAUAAUAAAACCUAUUCCAAAAGAUUGAUAUUUAGCAGAAGUGCAUUUAUGACACAAGUUAAGGAGUAAACAGUAUAACGCUACUGGCACUUCAUGAGUGAUGAGACCGGGGGAGUGGCUGGGAGUUCAGUAGUCUUAUGUCCCGGGGGAAGAUGCUGCUUCCCAUCUGAAAAGUCCUUGACCUAAUGCUAUAGUAUCUUCUGCCUGAUGUUAGGGGUUCAAAGGGGACCAAUAGGACUGAUCCUUAACAAUGAUAAGCGCCCUGUGUACACAGCGCUUCUAAUAAAUUUCUCUAAUGGCUGAAGAUGAGGCCCCAUUGUUUCUCUCAGCAGUCCUUGCAAUCUGUUGUAGGGUGCUGUGGUCAAAUGAUUUAUAAUUCCCGUACUAGACAGUGACGUAGCUGGUCAGGACACUCUUGGUGGCACUCCUACAAAAAUUGGCUAGAUUAGGGCUGAGGUCAGGGGGGAUGGUGGAAGCCUCAUUUGCCUCAGUAUCCUCAGGAAGUGAAGACGCUGCGGUGCUUUCUUGAUUAAAGAGGUAGAUUUGAGGGACCAGGUGAGAUUGUCCAUUAUAUGCACUUCCAGAAACUUGGUGUUCCUAACACUCUUCACAGAAGAGCUGUGUGAGGGGUGCAGUGCGAAACAUAGAAACACAGAAGUAGGCCAUUCAGCCCUUCGAACCUGUACCGCCAUUCAGAAUGAUCAUGGCUGAUCAUCCAAAACAGAAUCCUGUACCUGCUUUCUCUGAAGGUGAAGGAGUGCAAUGACAAGGUAGAGGAGUGAAGUGAGAAGGUAGAGGAGUGAAGU